GAGAAGCUUCCAUUGAAAAUUAAUGACUUCUGGUAACUUUUGAAGCUCAAGUCGCCGGAGGUGUGUACGUACAGUAAGCAUAGUCUAAUUGU